CAGUCGCCGCGGUAAUGCGUAGGUGGCAAGCGUUGUCCGGAAUUAUUGGGCGUAGAGGGCUCGCAGGCGGUUUCUUAAGUCUGAUGUGAAAGCCCCCGGCUCAACCGAGGAGGGUCAUUGGAAACUGGGAAACUUGAGUGCAGAAGAGGAGAGUGGAAUUCCACGUGUAGCGGUGAAAUGCGUAGAGAUGUGGAGGAACACCAGUGGCGAAGGCGACUCUCUGGUCUGUAACUGACGCUGAGGAGCGAAAGCGUGGGGAGCGAACAGGAUUAGAUACCCCAGUAGUCCCUGUCUCUUAUAC
rnacentral:rRNA from 1 species